ACGGAUGUCACUUGAUGCGUUC
rnacentral:siRNA from 1 species